rnacentral:lncRNA from 1 species
UUUCUGGGUCUGAUGUUAAUACAGAUCUUAAACACAUGUGCCAUAUAUAUUUUCUACUUACCAUAUUUGUUAUACUUUUAAAACUGCCUUUUAUUUUAUAAGUUAGUUGUAGUUCAUUUAAAGUGUCUGUCUCCGAAUAAAUUUUGUUUUUGAGCAGGGUCUUGCCAUUACAACUCAGGCUUGCCUCAAAUUCCUGGUGAUCCUCCUGCCUCUACCUGCAUGCAAACAUUGUGCCAAUUGAUUAUUUCCUUAGGCGUAGGUGUGCAGUUUUGUUCUAUAAGCAAAUGGCUUGAAAAGGUGACCAAGCAUUCUAAUAACAGUCAACAUGAGUGAGAAAUCCUCAAUUCGUUUUGAUGAAAUUUUAUCUGUAUUAUACAGAAGUUUGUUACAAGCAUGUUAACAUUUUAUAACCAAAUAUGGAUGAGUAACCGACUUUCUCCCCCACAGUGCGCAAGAGGCGAAUUGAAGGAGACCACCAGUAAGCGCAGUGACCUUUGGAAGCCUGCAGAUCACCAGAGGCUCGUGUUGGUGGCAGCAGAUGUAAAAAUUACCUGGGUAGAAGGGAAAGACUGGAAAUCUUUUUUAACUAUAUGCAUUAUUUUCCUAGCUUAUUAUAUUUGAUUUGUAAAAUCAGUACUAGGUAGUAUUUUGUAUUUGUAGCAUUUCUACUGAGACCAGUUUAAUUUAGCUUAAUUGAAUGGUUUAUGAUGAUUUUUAGGUAAAAAUGCAGUUGUGGAAAGUUUCAGAAGUCGUGUAUGUAAGAAUAAUUUG